rnacentral:lncRNA from 1 species
CCCUCUCCUCUUGACGAACUGCCUUCUCUUUGCGCGCCCUCUCCUCCUCACGCUUCUUCCGCUCCUUCCUCUCCCUCUCACGACGUUCUUCGUCCUCGGCUCUCUGUAAGGAUUCUUCAAACCGUCGCUGUCUCCUAAGGCAAUCUUGAAGUUGGUCUUUUUGGACAUCUUCUGGCACUUCAUGAUCUAUCCAUGUGAAGUACUUGCAAAGAGGAGGAGGUGACUACACACAAAACAAGUUUUUGUUAGUAAUAUAAAAUGAAUCAUAAUGGAGAAUAGCCUACUUUUCUAACAUACCGGUGGGAGGUCAUAGGCGUUAGUGGGACGCGCGCGAUCAUGUGCAUAGUUGGGACACACAAAAUAUCUUCUUCCUUCCGUCCACGACUUCUUCCGGUCAGUGGAGACCUUCACCUUGCACUCAUCUGCACACCAACAUGAAGGGGUUUUCACAUCCUUCUCCUUUGUCUUGUCCAACCUUGCCUCCUCCCACUUGUUCGGCAUGUCCUCUUGGUCAGCGCAUCGUGGCCUCGUCGUGGAACCGGAUGAAGCUAUGCCUAUGAGAAGAAGAAUUGUUAGAAAAUUACAUGAACAAACUAAAUGCAAAAAAACACAAUACAAGAAAACAAGAAAAAAUGAACAAAUAUUUACCAUUCAAAAUUGGUCAACCAUUUGGAUUAUGCAAAUAACCAAACGCCGACCCGUUAUCAGUCCUCCGUACUCUUGUACCACCACCGGAACCACCUCUACGAGCACCACUACUACCCCCUCUAGGGCCUCCAUUAGAGCCACCUCUACCACGUUGUGCACUCCUAGCACCUCCUCUAGGGCCUCUAGCAGCACGGGAACCACCUCUACGACCACCUGCCUGACUCGUGGUUGGAUUGCCCUUCUUUGAUGUUUUCCUUUUCUUAGAGCAUGUUCUCACAUUGUGUCCUGAAUUGUCACAUUGACCACAGUUGAUAGUGUCCGGAGGCUCCAUAAAGUGCCCGCUACCAAAUUGGUUCAUGCCAGUGUAUCCAGCUAGGUUGUCCAUAUCGCCUCUCAACCGUUUCUGUCUGAUUCUACCCUUGGGCUCAACCUUGAGCAAAGGAUCGGGCCUAAGCUCCGGGCCAUUAUAGUCAGGCCACUGCGAUGGGUCCAGGAAGGGUUGGAAUCGAGGGGCCCAUGUCAACCUAGUAGCUUCAAGAUCGAACUCAUGCAUCCUCACGGUUGUCCCAUCAGACACAUGUAUAUUUCUUGACGCCGCCGCCGUCAAAAGAUGAGAGCACGACCAAUGAUACUUACUAGGCCUCUCUCACUGACACCACCGUCUCUUAAGGUGCACCUCGAAUGCACGACCACCAUAUGACAUACCAUCUCUUGUUGUCCCACCAGGCUCGUCGAUUUGGUAGGUCAUAUCGUAGGUGUUGAAUAGCCUAAGUUUCUGUGCCGAGGACUUGCUUUGUUGUAACAUCAUCCACUCUUCAACCUUUGGUGGAUAUUCCAUUUUUCACCAAUCCACUUCACGGUUUCCUCUGAAUGCAUUAGAAAAUACUCAUUAAGCUUGAAGAAAGUAUAUUCCACUAUUGCAGUCACUGGCAAUGGGCGGGCACCUCUGAGCACAUUGUUAAAACAUUUGACCAUGUUACUGGUCAUGUCUCCAUAUCUCCAACCUCCUUUGUCAUGAGCGCGUGCCCACUUGUGUUUCUCCGGAAAAUUUCGUGUUAAGAAAUCUUUCCCUCCUUCGUUUGCAGCUUUGUAGAGCUUGUCAUAGCGAAUGGUGAACACACCGGUGCUGAAGGCCACGCAAACAUGGGUUAGAUCCUUGCUCAACUCCUUGCUCUUACAUGCCCUGUAAAAGUUUGCCACGAAAUGCCUCAUGCACCAUCGAUGGUGGAGCUUUGGAAGUCCUGGAAUAACAAUGUCCAUGGAUUUCAGUAUGCCUUGGUGCCGGUCUGAUAUAAUGCACACUUCUCUAUCACCAAUGACAUUUUCCCUAACAUGACGCAUGAACCACUCCCAGUUGUCUUGGUGCUCGAAGGGCACCAAACCAAAUGCCACCGGCAACACAUUGUCAUUGGAGGAGUGCGCCAUUGCUACCAUGAUUGUGCCCUUGUAUCGGCCGGUCAAGAAUGUGCCAUCAAUAGACAAAACCGGACGGCAAUGCUUAAAGGCCGUGAUGCAUUGUCCGAAACUCCAGAAGGCACGGUGAAACACCCCAUGACCAUCAUCCUCGACCACAUGGUACAUGUCGGGGUUCCUAUGGGCAAUCGCUCCCAAUAACCGCGGGAGGCGAUUGUAUGCUUCUUCCCAACUACCAUACAACAUCCUUAAAGCAUUUGACUUGGCCUUCCAUGUCUUCCCAUACUUGACUUUGUAUCCAAACAUUUUUUUCAUCGUCGUCAUUGGGAACCUUCACGGUUGGAUCACUUGAUACUUCUUUCAUUAAUUUAAACCUGAGAAACUCAGACGUGAGUUGACGGUGUGUUUUAGGCUUCUUUUUUGACGGUGGCCUGCACGAGUGAGUACACACACAACUUGUUAACAGCCAUUGCCCGGUUUUAAUUCUUCUUCCAUGGACCGCCCAUGGGCAUCCUUCUUUGUCACAAUGGAUGGAGUAACACACUUUUUGGUCCGUGUGCCCAACAAGAUAUGGUCUAUGGUUCCUAAUAGCAUAGUCACUUAGCCAUACUUUGAAGGCCUGCAAACUCACAAACUUCAACCCUUUGUUCAAGUAAGCAUUCUCGUCUUCAUCCUUGUCCCUUGGUUCGCCCGGUUCCGGGCAAGCUCUCGGUUCUAUCGCCUUACUCAUGCCACCAUCAACUACCGCCUUGUGGGACAACCUGAGAUCACGAAACAAUGGAGUUCUUAUUUCCAAAUCGGUCACCUCUGUGUGUAUACGGUUCUCUCUCUCCGUGAAUCCAUCCACGUUCAGUUCUUCCUCCGGACCUUCAUCAUCCGAGUCAUAUGCAUAUGCACGACUAUAGGGGAUCUCACGGUCCAUGUCCUGCUGCCUGACAAACGCUUCCAAGUCACCGAUGUCAUUGCCAUGAAUCUCAUCCUCUUGCUCAUCAUCAGCACUGCAUCCAUCCUCUAGUGCAAGACGAGCCCUUUCAAGCUUCCUAACUCUCUCCUCCUCUCGAGCCAUCUUCUUGUUUUUGCAUGCCAUGUCCGCCUCACGCUUCAGUCGUUCCCUUUUCUCCUUCUCAUUUGCAUGAGUCUCAUCCUCAUGCAUGUCAUCAUCAUCAUCACCAUGACCACAUUGGACAUCACCAUGACCAUCAACAUAUUGUUCAUUACCUUUUUCAAGAGCAUGCCCAACAACUUCAUUUUCUUGGCUAGGUGGCGGUUGGCUAGAAGUAUUGGGGGCAUAGACCUCGGCACUAUCCACAACACGAGCCACACUUCUACACGGGGAGGACACUUGGCGGUUCAAGUCAAUAUCAAGCCGCGAACCUUGCCCCUUCAUAGCAAACAAUUCAAGUGACAUAUCUUCCGAGGCCGCAACUUUACCCUUGUAUAUCCCCCAAUGCAACUCGGAGAUGAUAGGCAUAUUCUUCAGUCGAGAUUUUGUUCCCACCCCAACAUCAUACCUUCCUAUUAAUUCAACUUUAUCAUUGGGGUCCAUCCAAUUCAACUUAUCUCUUACUUUAAUAACAACCUCAUCAUAACUAGGACUUGUGUCGAAUACCACCACUUCCUCGUUGUCACUUGCAGUUUUGGUCACAAAUGACGCUUUGUCCAAAUAAUGAACAUUAACAAGUCUAUCAUCCAUCUAAAAGGGACAACAAACAAGAUGAAAUGACAAUUAUAAUGCAUAGUUGCAAAAACUAUGCAACUCUAAUGAAGCAAUGACAGCUAUAUAUCCUAAUGAGUUGUAUCAAAAACAAAUUAAAACUUAUGUACUAAAUAUAUCAUGUCAUUAGCUUAACACAUAACCUAACCAUAACCAUCAUAUUUAUCAAAUCCAUCAUUUGUACCCACAAAAUGCAUAUCCCAUUACUACUACCACAACUACAUAUUAAUUAAAAGCCAUCCAAUACCAAAGGAUUUGAAUAAAUCUAGAAACUAAGGUGCCACCUAGGGUUACAUAAUGCCACUAAAGUAACAAGAAAUUACCAACAAAAUUUAGGGAUCCCGGGGAGAUUACCUCAAACAACAAGGGAGAGAAAGAUUCACGGAGGAAAAUCAAAUUUGGAGCGGGAUUUGAGUGAGCCUUGAGGUGGGAGAGAG